CGGCCACAGGUCCGGCUCCUUUGUGCGCGGCUUUGGCGGCUUCGCUGGAAUUCAAACGGCCGCAAUCGCUUCCGCCAUCUUUGCGUCGACGGAGGCGCUGCUGUCCCUGAGCACAGAGGAGAGCCUGGCCUGGGGUGACCGCGCUGGGAGCUGGUGGAGCUCCAAACCUCGCCUUACUUCUCCUGCUCUUCGCCCUCUUUUUUAAUUCAUUAUUGAAAACCCAUGUGUAGGAUUGAAAUACUUUCCUGCAAUAUUUACAACCUCAACUCGGGAAUUGUGCUAGGACUUACUCUCAGUGUUACCUGUGACACAAGAUGUUUUUCUGAACACAAUGGUCUUGCUGUUUCUUUACCCAAUUAUUUGCUGACCGGCAGUAGAUAAGAGUUCUGUACGCUGCACAAUGUAUAAGAUACCAAAGAAAAAACCUGCAGUGUCUGGAGAACUGCAUCAUUAAUAUAGACAUAGAUAAUAGAGGCACUAACGAGCAUUCUUUAGGAUAAGAUGUAUCAAAACAUGUAGAAGAUCACACUGUGCAGAAUCAUCCGAGAAGGGUCAAACAGCAGACAAGUAAGGAAGACUACAGAAGACCACCAGAGGACUCCUGAAGACCACCAGAGACCUUGAAUACACCUGCGCGAGGGACAUUUGCAUAUGAUAAUGAAUAUGUAAAACUUUUCCCAGAAAUCUAAUGAAUAUGUGUAUAGAAGCUGUAUAUAAACUAUGCAAUUAACCUGAUCAGGCACACACAAUAGGAGGAGAAAUCCCCUGUGUGCCCAGCGCUGCAAUAAAGGAUACCUGCUUAAUA